rnacentral:rRNA from 1 species
AGCAGUAGGGAAUAUUGGGCAAUGGACGAGAGUCUGACCCAGCCAUGCCGCGUGCAGGAAGAAGGCUUUCUGAGUCGUAAACUGCUUUUGACAGGGAAGAAUAAGCACUACGUGUAGUGUGAUGACGGUACCUGCAGAAUAAGCACCGGCUAACUCCGUGCCAGCAGCCGCGGUAAUACGGAGGGUGCGAGCGUUGUCCGGAUUUAUUGGGUUUAAAGGGUGCGUAGGCGGCCCGUUAAGUCCGGGGUGAAAGCCCGUUGCUCAACAACGGAACUGCCCUGGAUACUGACGGGCUUGAGUACAGACGAGGUUGGCGGAAUGGACAGAGUAGCGGUGAAAUGCAUAGAUACUGUCCAGAACCCCGAUUGCGAAGGCAGCUGACUAGGCUGUUACUGACGCUGAGG